AGCUAGAUACAGUUCCGUGGUUGCGGUCGGAGGUCAGGCAGAUAUACUCUGCGGACAUUGAGUCACCAGUGCUAAGUGCCAACUCAGCAGCGAGGGCUGUGCUGAAGACCAGGGUCUCAGAGGAACAAGUUUCAAGAGUCCUGCCAGGCUCCAAAACAACCCUAACCAUGGAUAGACCUACCAAAGGCCAGAAGGUUGUGGAAGAUACCCCACGUGAUGACUUCAGCAGGAAAGGGGAACCCAGUUCAGAAGCAAGCAACCCAGUACUGGAGGCAAGCGCUAAGGAUAAUACUCCCUUGGAAGAAAUUGACCAGAAAACCAGG